rnacentral:rRNA from 1 species
CACGGCCCAGCUGUGAGGCCGCGGUCGGGUCGGAGCGGUGAGGCCGUCACCAGGGCCGUGCCGCCGUCGACGGGCCGGGCCGGAGCGAUGGGGCCAAAGCCGGAGCCCGCGUCGGCGCUGUGAUGACGCGCUGCACCCGCACACCGCCCAUGACCUCGGUCCGGAGGCCAAGUCAGCGGAGCCACGCGGGGCGAUUUGACGUCGCGCGAAUCGCGACCUAAUCUUUCACUUCGCCCCGGGAGUGAGCCGGACGCCGGUCAGGCGGACGGGCCCCAGGGCAAGCCCCUUGAAACAAACGAGCCAACCCGGCAGAGCCGCUUCGGCGUGCUCCCGCAUGGGCGGCUUCUGGGCGUGCUCGGGUCACCGGAAAAUCGGUUGAUUCGACACGAGCCGGAUGCCACGGUAAGUUACGAGGGUUGCCUCGGAAACGGGGCGCACAACUUUGGAAGAUCGAACCACUUCCAGUCAAGUCCCUGGAUUUGACACGAAGCACGACGAUCUGAUAAAGUUGAGAAGAGCGAGAUAGCGCCUCCGCGCUGAGGUCCAGGAUUCUGGAUCUGAGCGGGAAGUACGCGUCCGUUUCUUGAGAACUCAACAGUGUGUUAAAAGCCAGUGCAUGAUUUUCAUGCAACACCUCGUCAAGACAUGAUUCUUGAUGGAUUUUGCUCGGAUGAAUAAUCCAGACAUUGUUUGGAGAGUUUGAUCCUGGCUCAGGACGAACGCUGGCGGCGUGCUUAACACAUGCAAGUCGAGCGGAAAGGCCCUUCGGGGUACUCGAGCGGCGAACGGGUGAGUAACACGUGAGCAACCUGCCCCUGACUCUGGGAUAAGCCCGGGAAACUGGGUCUAAUACCGGAUACGACCGCCUCCGGCAUCGGGUGGUGGUGGAAAGUUUUUCGGUCGGGGAUGGGCUCGCGGCCUAUCAGCUUGUUGGUGGGGUAGUGGCCUACCAAGGCGACGACGGGUAGCCGGCCUGAGAGGGCGACCGGCCACACUGGGACUGAGACACGGCCCAGACUCCUACGGGAGGCAGCAGUGGGGAAUAUUGCGCAAUGGGCGGAAGCCUGACGCAGCGACGCCGCGUGGGGGAUGACGGCCUUCGGGUUGUAAACCUCUUUCAGCAGGGACGAAGUUGACGUGUACCUGCAGAAGAAGCGCCGGCUAACUACGUGCCAGCAGCCGCGGUAAUACGUAGGGCGCAAGCGUUGUCCGGAAUUAUUGGGCGUAAAGAGCUCGUAGGUGGCUGGUCGCGUCUGCCGUGAAAGCCCGCAGCUUAACUGCGGGUCUGCGGUGGAUACGGGCCGGCUAGAGGUAGGUAGGGGCAAGUGGAAUUCCUGGUGUAGCGGUGAAAUGCGCAGAUAUCAGGAGGAACACCGGUGGCGAAGGCGGCUUGCUGGGCCUUACCUGACGCUGAGGAGCGAAAGCGUGGGGAGCGAACAGGAUUAGAUACCCUGGUAGUCCACGCUGUAAACGUUGGGCGCUAGGUGUGGGGAUCUUCCACGAUCUCCGUGCCGGAGCUAACGCAUUAAGCGCCCCGCCUGGGGAGUACGGCCGCAAGGCUAAAACUCAAAGGAAUUGACGGGGGCCCGCACAAGCGGCGGAGCAUGUUGCUUAAUUCGACGCAACGCGAAGAACCUUACCAAGGUUUGACAUCACCCGGAAAGCUCUGGAGACAGAGCCCUCUUCGGACUGGGUGACAGGUGGUGCAUGGCUGUCGUCAGCUCGUGUCGUGAGAUGUUGGGUUAAGUCCCGCAACGAGCGCAACCCUUGCUCCAUGUUGCCAGCAGGCGCUUCGGCGUGCUGGGGACUCAUGGGGGACUGCCGGGGUCAACUCGGAGGAAGGUGGGGAUGACGUCAAGUCAUCAUGCCCCUUAUGUCUUGGGCUGCAAACAUGCUACAAUGGCCGGUACAGAGGGUUGCGAUACCGUGAGGUGGAGCGAAUCCCUAAAAGCCGGUCUCAGUUCGGAUUGGGGUCUGCAACUCGACCCCAUGAAGUCGGAGUCGCUAGUAAUCGCAGAUCAGCAAUGCUGCGGUGAAUACGUUCCCGGGCCUUGUACACACCGCCCGUCACGUCACGAAAGUCGGCAACACCCGAAGCCCGUGGCCCAACCCGUAAGGGGGGGAGCGGUCGAAGGUGGGGCUGGCGAUUGGGACGAAGUCGUAACAAGGUAGCCGUACCGGAAGGUGCGGCUGGAUCACCUCCUUUCUAAGGAGCACUCUCACCUAUCACCGCCGAAUGUGUGGUGGGGUGACAGCUCACUAGUGGAGCACUGGCUACUCAGACGGAAAGACCCCGGGACCUUCACUACAGCUUGACAUUGGCGUUUGGAGCGUCUUGUGUAGGAUAGGUGGGAGACUGGGAAGCUCGGACGCUAGUUCGGGUGGAGUCAUUGGUGAAAUACCACUCUGGUCGUUUUGAACGUCUAACUCUGGUCCGUGAUCCGGAUCGGGGACAGUGUCUGGUGGGUAGUUUAACUGGGGCGGUUGCCUCCUAAAGGGUAACGGAGGCGCCCAAAGGUUCCCUCAGCCUGGUUGGCAAUCAGGUGUCGAGUGUAAGUGCACAAGGGAGCUUGACUGUGAGACUGACGGGUCGAGCAGGAGCGAAAGCUGGGACUAGUGAUCCGGCAUCGGCGUGUGGAAGCGGUGUCGCUCAACGGCUAAAAGGUACCCCGGGGAUAACAGGCUGAUCUUCCCCAAGAGUCCAUAUCGACGGGAUGGUUUGGCACCUCGAUGUCGGCUCGUCGCAUCCUGGGGCUGGAGUAGGUCCCAAGGGUUGGGCUGUUCGCCCAUUAAAGCGGUACGCGAGCUGGGUUUAGAACGUCGCGAGACAGUUCGGUCCCUAUCCGCUGCGCGCGCAGGAGACUUGAAAGGGGCUGUCCCUAGUACGAGAGGACCGGGACGGACGAACCUCUGGUGUGCCAGUUGUACCGCCAGGUGCACGGCUGGUUGGCUACGUUCGGAAGGGAUAACCGCUGAAAGCAUCUAAGCGGGAAGCUCGCCUUGAGAUGAGGUCUCCCACCACGAGAGUGGGUAAGGCUCCCGGUAGACGACCGGGUUGAUAGGCCGGAGGUGGAAGCACGGUAACGUGUGGAGCUGACCGGUACUAAUAGGCCGAGGACUUGACCACAAAGCAUC